GGAAAACACCUUACUACCAACUCUCUCUCUUCUUUAAGAACUGAUUGCCACCCACCACUACUCUGAGGGCUGGUCCUGCCUUCCAUCCUGAGUGGCUUAUGGGUCCAUUUAACCUAGGCUGGGGGCAGCAGGACUCUUUUAUUCUUUUCUGGUGGAAAGGGCCCAGGAAUGACGCUGGGAGAGGCUGGUGUGAGACCCCAGGAGCCUGAAUGCAGCAGACUUUAGAUUGGUGUGUAAUGUGCUGCUCUCAAACAAAGAGGAUAACAUGACUCAUGACAGGUCAAUAUAUACAGUCUGAGUAAACACACAACAUAUGGAAACUGGAAGAGUGUUGACCAGGACAGAAGUUGGCCAACUUUUACAUCCCUGACGUUGCUCAUGUUUAUCUCAGUAUUGAUGUACAACAGUUCUAUUUCUUUUUUAAUUUAAAGUCAUGAUAUUUUCCCAAUUUGUGCCAGUCUAUUCAACAUGAAUAAACAGGACUUGCAUUAAGAGCACAUUAUGAGGAUGGAUGUAAA